UACGGAGGGUGCUAGCGUUGUUCGGAAUCACUGGGCGUAAAGGGCGUGUAGGCGGUCUGUUAAGUCUGGUGUGAAAUCCCCCCGCUCAACGGGGGAACGGCGCCGGAUACUGGCAGACUCGAGUACCGGAGAGGAAGGUGGAAUUCCCGGUGUAGCGGUGAAAUGCGUAGAUAUCAGGAAGAACACCCGUGGCGAAGGCGGCUCUCUGGGACGGUACUGACGCUGAGACGCGAAAGCGUGGGGAGCGAACAGG
rnacentral:rRNA from 1 species